GAUGUUGGGUUAAGUCCCGCAACGAGCGCAACCCUUGCCCUAUGUUGCCAGCGGUUCGGCCGGGGACUCAUGGGGGACUGCCGGUGAUAAACCGGAGGAAGGUGGGGAUGACGUCAAGUCAUCAUGGCCCUUAUGCCCAGGGCUACACACGUGCUACAAUGGCCGACACAAAGGGCAGCAAUACCGCGAGGUGGAGCGAAUCCCAAAAAGUCGGUCCAAGUUCGGAUUGGAGUCUGCAACCCGACUCCAUGAAGCCGGAAUCGCUAGUAAUCGUAGGUCAGCCAUACUACGGUGAAUACGUUCCCGGGCCUUGUACACACCGCCCGUCAAGCGAUGGAAGCUGGGGGUACCCGAAGCCGGUGGCCUAACCUUCGGGAGGGAGCCGUCGAAGGUAAACUCAGUGACUGGCGCUAAGUCGUAACAAGGUAGCCGUAGGGGAACCUGCGGCUGGAUCACCUCCUUUCUAGGGAG
rnacentral:rRNA from 1 species